rnacentral:rRNA from 1 species
CCCUUAGAUGUCCGGGGCUGCACGCGCGCUACACUGAAGGAAUCAGCGUGCUAAAACCAUUGUCGAAAGGCAUUGGUAAACCCAUUAAAAUCUUACGUGAUUGGGAUCGGGAAUUGCAAUUAUUUCCCUUGAACGAGGAAUUCCCAGUAAGUGUGGGUCAUAAGCUCGCGUUGAUUACGUCCCUGCCCUUUGUACACACCGCCCGUCGCUGCCCGGGACUGAGCCGUUUCGAGAAAAGCGGGGACUGCUGCUGUCGGGGCUUUCGGGCCUUGGCUUCGGUGGAAACCGCUUUAAUCGCAGUGGCUUGAACCGGGCAAAAGUCGUAACA